ensembl:misc_RNA 7SK 7SK RNA
GGAGGUGAGGGAGAUCUGGCUGUGACAUCUGUCACCCCAUUGAUUGCCAGGGUUGAUUUGGUUGAUCUGGCUGGCUAGGUGGGUAUACCCUUCCUCCCUCACCACUCCAUGUGCGUCCCUCCCAAAGCUACGUGCUCAGGGCUCCAUGUGAGUCCCUCCCGAAGCUGUGCGCUUGGUCAAAGAGGGCAGCCUUCCUGGAAUAAAGAGGGACAGGUCUUCAGUGUAUACAAGUAGCUGCGCUCCCCUUCUAGACCCUCCAAACAAGCUUUCAAGGAGUUCAUUGACUCUAAAACCUAACAUUAACAAGCUUUUAGAUGUGGAAAUGAUACUUAACUUCACUGAGCUUCAGUGAGAAUAACGAAACUUAGCUAAGAGUAUCUU